rnacentral:rRNA from 1 species
UACGGAGGGGGCUAGCGUUGUUCGGAAUUACUGGGCGUAAAGCGCACGUAGGCGGCUUUGUAAGUUAGAGGUGAAAGCCCAGGGCUUAACUCUGGAAUUGCCUUUAAGACUGCAUCGCUAGAAUCGUGGAGAGGUGAGUGGAACUGCGAGUGUAGAGGUGAAAUUCGUAGAUAUUCGCAAGAACACCAGUGGCGAAGGCGGCUCACUGGCCCGAUACUGACGCUGAGGCACGAAAGCGUGGGGAGCAAACAGG